rnacentral:rRNA from 1 species
AACGGCGAGUGAAGCGGUAACAGCUCAAAUUUGAAAUCUGGGUCUUUUAGGCUCCGAGUUGUAAUUUGUAGAAGAUGCUUCGGGUGUGGCUCCGGUCUAAGUUCCUUGGAACAGGACGUCAUAGAGGGUGAGAAUCCCGUAUGUGACUGGUUGCCUUCGCCCAUGUGAAGCUCUUUCGACGAGUCGAGUUGUUUGGGAAUGCAGCUCAAAAUGGGUGGUAAAUUUCAUCUAAAGCUAAAUAUUGGCCAGAGACCGAUAGCGCACAAGUAGAGUGAUCGAAAGAUGAAAAGCACUUUGGAAAGAGAGUUAAACAGUACGUGAAAUUGUUGAAAGGGAAGCGCUUGCAACCAGACUUGCACGUUGCUGAUCAUCUAGGGUUCUCCCUAGUGCACUCGGUAACGUUCAGGCCAGCAUCGAUUUGAGUGGUGGGAUAAAGGCCUUGGGAAUGUAGCUUCUUUCGGGGAGUGUUAUAGCCCUCGGUGCAAUGCCGCCUACUCGGAUCGAGGACCGCGCUUCGGCU